rnacentral:antisense_RNA from 1 species
UUCUCUUUAUUAAUUUUGUGCCAUCCUUACCUGGGG